GCAGACCUGGCAGACCUAGCAGACCUGGCAGACCUAGCAGACCUUGCAGACCUGGCAGACCUGGCAGACCUAGCAGACCUAGCAGACCUAGCAGACCUGGCAGACCUGGCAGACUUGGCAGACCUAGCAGACCUAGCAGACCUGGCAGACCUGGCAGACCUGGCAGACCUGGCAGACCUAGCAGACCUGGCAGACCUGGCAGACCUGGCAGACCUAGCAGACCUGGCAGACCUGGCAGACCUGGCAGACCUAGCAGACCUGGCAGACCUGGCAGACCUAGCAGACCUGGCAGACCUGGCAGACCUGGCAGACCUGGCAGACCUGGCAGACCUGGCAGACCUGGCAGACCUAGCAGACCUGGCAGACCUGGCAGACCUGGCAGACCUGGCAGACCUGGCAGACCUGGCAGACCUGGCAGACCUGGCAGACCUGGCAGACCUGGCAGACCUAGCAGACCUGGCAGACCUGGCAGACCUAGCAGACCUGGCAGACCUAGCAGACCUAGCAGACCUGGCAGACCUGGCAGACCUAGCAGACCUGGCAGACCUGGCAGACCUAGCAGACCUAGCAGACCUGGCAGACCUGGCAGGCAGUACAGUUCAGGAGACGUGAUGUUGCAUCCCUAUCUGCAAACGAGAUACCCUGCUCACUAGCUGCAUUGGCGUCAUCCUGUUACGCAAGCUUCAUGCUUACAGCGAGGGUAAGAGACGACGGACGGGGCCUGAAGAAGAGUGCGGGAAGGACUGCGUGCCUCUCUGGUCUUUUUCAAGACCGCCUUCCUUCGGGAAUGGUUUAAACGGGAUUCCGGGCUCAGCCAUAUUUGCAUUUGGG
rnacentral:lncRNA from 1 species